UCCAGUAGGAAAACAGCCAGCUGUGUCCUGGUAUCCGGGUCUGCAUGGCUUGUCAGAGCUGAUAGUUCUUUCAGGCCUAAUCUGGACAGACCCAGGAGGAAGGAGGUCUCAGGGCCUCCUUCCUUUGAUCAGCUCUCAUGCGCAUGCUUUCCUUUCCCCAGUUCCUCUUGACUAGUGUCCUUGUGUCGUGGGCAGCCUCCUGAGUGAAGGUGAGGAAUCUCCCUCCCCCGAGCUCAUCCACAUCUACCAGGAAUUUGACUUCUAGGUGUUCUCCUUCCAGGCACCCAGCCACAUGGUGACAGCCACCUUCCCCUACAUCACCAUGCUGUCCAUCUGGGUGGCUGCCCGCCAUGUCCAUUCUGCCUUGGACACCUCCAUCAAGACCAAGGAAUGACCACAUGAGAACAUAGCAAGGAGGCAUCCACCUGCACACCAGGAAGAGAGCCCUCACCUGCAACUGAGUUGGCUGACCCCUUGACCUUGGACUUCCAGCCUCCAGAACUAAUGAUGUUGCAGCAUGUUCCCUUACAUUACAACAAUCUCUGGCCUUUUUUCUGAGUCAAGGUCAAGGUUUGCGUUGAUGAUCUGGCACAUUAAUAGAAGCCGUGUAUUGGUCUCUGUGUUAUCUCAUUGGAUUUCCUGCCGACCAUGAAGAUUGACGGGUUUUAUUAGCCCUCACAGGAAAACUGAUUCUCAAAGUCAAAAAUCUCAAGCAUAGAAUACAGGAUAUGGACCCAUCGAUCCCCACUACAAAAAGCCUUUCCUAGUACAGA